UAAUACAGAGGGGGCAAGCGUUAUUCGGAAUUAUUGGGCGUAAAGGGCGCGUAGGCGGCCAAGCAAGUCAGGGGUGAAAUCCCUCGGCUCAACCGAGGAAUUGCCUCUGAAACUGCAUGGCUUGAGACCGGGAGAGGGUGGUGGAAUUCCCAGUGUAGCGGUGAAAUGCGUAGAUAUUGGGAGGAACACCGGUGGCGAAGGCGGCCACCUGGACCGGUUCUGACGCUGAGGCGCGAAAGUGUGGGGAGCAAACAGG
rnacentral:rRNA from 1 species